rnacentral:rRNA from 1 species
CCCUUAGAUGUUCUGGGCUGCACGCGCGCUACACUGAACAGUUCAACAAGUCUUAACCUUGGCCGAUAGGUCUGGGUAAUCUUUGAACGCUGUUCGUGAUUGGGAUAGACCUUUGCAAUUAUGGGUCUUCAACGAGGAAUUCCUAGUAAACGCAAGUCAUCAGCUUGCAUUGAUUACGUCCCUGCCCUUUGUACACACCGCCCGUCGCACCUACCGAUUGAAUGGUCCGGUGAAAUCUCGGGACGGCGGCUUGGUCGCUUGCGUCCGACUGCUGAAACUUGAUUAAACCAUAUCAUUUAGAGGAAGGUGAAGUCGUAACA